rnacentral:lncRNA from 1 species
ACGCCUGGUGGCGUAGCACACGCGGGGGAGGGCUUGGCUGCUACGGCACUGGGGGCUGAAGGCUACUGUUGCUGCUUUGUUUUGGACUAGUGGGCUAGGGUUUAGGCAUUUGGGUUAGGUUAAGUUUAGUUGGGCCUAGCAUUUUGGGUUUGUAAUUAAAAUCUGCAUUGGACUAUGUAAACGGACUGUCUAAUAUUGAACUUUUAUUUUUUUUUUGUUUUUUAUAUUAUUUUAACGGGCCCGGGGCAAAAUUGGGUAUUACAUCAUUCUCUAUUAUUCUCGAACCAUGAAUUACAUCGAGUAUGAGCUCAAGUAACAUAACCAAAUCAUAGAAUGAAAACUUUUAAUUUAACUUUCAAUUGGAAUGUUAAUUCUCCUUAUAACCAAAAUUAUUCAUUUCCCUAGAAAUAGAAUUUAUUCUAGAAAAAAUAAAUUUACAUUAUUUUCUGACAGAAUAACGAUGUAUGUUG